CCCGUCCGCUGCAUGCCUACAUGCGUUGUUUCCCCACCCAAUCCACCGCAACUCUCUCCUCUCAUCCCCUCCUGCUCCCCCAUCCGCUGCACCCUCGCUCUCCCCAAAGCACGCGUGUCGGACAGGGACUGACAGCCACGCAGUAAUCCGACGCCACCAGCAAUCACAAAGGCGAGAUGGGCUACAGCGACGCCGCAUCGCCCGUAUCGGCGGCCGCUGGACGUGAUGCCAAGAAGAAGAGGGUGAGGGGCCUGCUCACCUUUGGCGGUGGGGGCGAGCGGCGAAGCUGAAGCCGAGCAAGUGAGAUGCCGCCAUGGAUAGUUUCUGUCAAGGGGCUAAGGAUCCAAGGCAAUCCUUAGAAAACUACAUGUUCUCAAAUGGAUGUGAGGUGCUAAAGAUUCUGCAUACAUAAUGGAAAACACCAUGUGCAAGUGAUGCAAGAGCCCAUAUUAUCGAGGAGGUGGCCUCGAUCCUGCCAUCCAGGAGCAUCUAUGAUGGGAUUCAAGAUAUGGAAACUCCAGCUCUUUUGAUCUUGUGACUGAUUUUGUCAAUGAUAUUCUAUUUUCAUGCA